GCAUCCGUAGCUUCAGCUGGAAGAGUACUCGGCUACGAACCGAGCGGUCGGAGGUUCGAAUCCUCCCGGAUGCACCA
rnacentral:tRNA from 1 species